rnacentral:lncRNA from 1 species
AAACUACAAUGUUUAAGGGUAUAUGAACUAAGGUAUGUUGUUGAAAUCUAAAGGUAAAUAGGAAUUUGUUACAAUAAUAGCAGUUUAAUUUUAACACAUGCAUGAAAGUUUACAUUGUUCUGCAAACUUUUGUAAAAACAACAAUUGACUUGUUUGCGAAUGAACUAUUGAACUACACACAUGUAACGAGUGUCAUUGAAUCUAUCGAAACAGAAAAAUAUAGAGUAAAAUAUUUGUUGUUGUUAUAUGACUAAAUAUCUUUCAAAAUAAAUAAUUCUUUUUUAAUUACCUGCACAGUGUGCAAGUCGUGUGAAUAAUAAAUGAUCCCCAAAAUGACAAUAAUAAAUAAUACCCAAAAUGACAAUAAUAAACAUAGUGGCUUUCAAAAUGAAUUCGGUUAGGAGCGAUCCUGUUGAAGGUUUAUCCAGAAAAAAACUAUGAAUACACGGAAUUAAUAAAUUAAUUUUUUUAAUUGCUAACACUACAUCGUGACCACUGUAAGUGUGCUGUUAACAUGGUUAAACUUUGAUAAAUUGCAUGCGUUCGAAGCGCUUUCCGGAUUUAUCUUCGUCGGAAACGCUAAAAGCCGAAUAUCUGAAGUCAAUGAUGUAUAAUAAUUGAAACAAUUGAAAAGUUAUUUCAUCAAAAAGGAAUAAAAAAAAAUCAUCUGAGGUCAACUUUCAAGAUGACCAGAGGGAUUUCAAGCCGUAGUUUCUAUAUAAUUUCCAAAUUUCUAAACGGGCAAUUUUAUUCGAGAUUUGUUAUUAAUAAUGUUCUUGUCUUUUCUUUUUUAUAUUUUUAUACAUUUAUAAAUUCUUAUAUGAUCCCAAUUUACAAUUGUCGUUGCAUCUGUUACGGACUUUCCCAAUUGAUCUUCCUCUAAGUUCAGUAUUUUUGUGAUUUUACUUUUUAUAGGAGGAGCAAGAUGGUUCCUUACGCCUAAAGAUCAAUGAGAAGUUCUUAAAAUAAGGCUAUUUUGGCAGUUUUGACGCUCUUAUAUAAAUGGCUAAUAAAAAAUAUAAAGAUAAAGACACGGAUGAUAGUAUAAUGUCUUGUGAAUAUUCAAAGUUAUAGUCUUUUGAUAUUUGCUUUGGGGAAGGGGGCUCUGUAUCCGAGAGGUCUUAGUAGUUUAUUAAGAGUAUCACAACCCUGUCAUCACUGCGGUUGUGAGCAACACAUUAUCAAAACAUCAUGAUAAGCAUGCAAUUGAAGAUGUAUCUUGCAUUGUAAUAAAAAAAAGUUUCAACAGCAGGGCGUGAUCCUAGUUUACUCGCUGUUCUUUUCUUUUGACAUAUUAUUGUCUAAAUCUGGAAUAUUGAGACAACAAACAUCGCAAAGUAGAGAAAUUUGUGUUUGUUAUGUCCUGAUUCUGUAGUUUAACAAUAUCGUAUAGUGUAACAGAUGAGCCGCAUAUAAAGUUUUUGGUAUAAAUGCAUUUUCGUUGCUUGUGUUUUGUGAAUAUAAGUAGUAUGAAUAAAAACAAAAUUCAUCUCUGUAGUUUUGUAUAUAAAAACCCUAAUAAUAAUCGUUCGUUUCUCAAAUUCAAAAACUUUUCAAUCGAACCGACGAACGAAUAUUGUCUAAGAACUUAAACCAAUUGAUCGAUAAAACAUGAAUUAACCAAUCUGAAGUGUCGCAAACGAUUGUUUAUACCACUGUAUUACAUGUAUUACUAGUAUGGAAAGUUGUGACUUGUCUUUUAAUUAGGAACGUUCAAAGGAGAAAUAGAUACCUAAGGGAGAAUCAUAAUUCUUGGUAUCUAUGAUGGGUUUAUCUUAAAAGGUUUUGUCAAAUACAGCCAAAUUGUUCUUCUUGUAUCUAUGAUACCGAAUUAUUAUUCCUUUUGCUUGCAGACGAUGUUGGAAAGACGUUAAGAGCCAUCAAAUCGGUAGCAUACUUAUUUUACUACCAGCUCCUGUGGCUACUAUUCGCCAAUUGGUAUUAGUGUGAUUUAAAUGAUGCUUUUUAAAGAACUAUUUUUGGUUACCAAAUUAUUAUCUAAGUGUUAAACUUACUUUUUUACUCCCUCUACCAAAAAUGACCGAACGUUUUUAUGUUUUUUGUUUUGAUAUUUGCUCUAAUGCUCCGAAAUGUUUAUGUUUUAUGUUUCCGAACAUUUGGUCCCAGAUGUACCUCAUGGAUGAAGACUUUCAUGAUAUGGUAAAAUAGUAAUUCUUAUAACUUCAACAGUACCAAUUGUCCUGCAUGAUAUGCGAAUUUCGACAAUUGAUGUCUCUUCAGUGAUCCUGAAAGCCAAAAUACCUGAAUUCCAAAACCUAAUACAAACGUUUCAGAACUGAUAAAACAAACAAAAAUCAGAUAUAAAGGAGGAUAAUCUUCACUGCACGCUCUCCUUAUAAUUCACAUAUAUCUGGACAAAAUGUCUUAUAAUUGUACAAUAUUAGACUGUUAACUAUUAUUAAGUAAUCAGAAAAAAUAAAGUUGAUAAAGUUUUCGCAGACUUUUUAAUAGUCAUUCAGAUGUUAUACAAAUAAUUGACAACAACAACAUUUGUUGUGAACAUUUGAACUUUUGUGAAAUGCAAUGGAUUAACACAGGAAAUACUUAAUACAGUAAAUAAAUUAUUCUUUAAUAUUUGCUUUGACACGGCAUGGACUUCUUUAUAAAUUAUCUAUAUCAUAUAUUGCUAAGAACAAUGUUAACAAUAUGACAUCGGGCCAAUCCUAUGUACAUUUUUUUGUAAUCAAAAUUAUAUACAUAAUUAUAUUUUUUUUUUAUAUCUUUAACUCUAGGUUUUAUUCUAAUCCAAUAUUGAGGAUAUUCAUCUAUUUACAUUGAUAUAAACUAUAAAUGUAUGAUGUUUACGAUUUACUGUUUACCAGCGUUGCCUUUUUUUAGGCAUUCAGUCAUAACAUUCACAAGCAUCUACUCAUGUACAAUACAUGUGAGAUUGCAACAUCAAACAAGAAAACAAAACUGAUAUAAAACUAACGGCACAUAAUUAUAGAGUUAACUAUAUCCCCCAAAAAAAACAGAAAAAGUUAUAAAACGUGUCUUUUUCUAAACAGAGAUGGAUGACACAAGUUAUCGUCACAUUAAAUCUUACAAAUAACCUUUUAACUUUUAAUGGAAGAUAAUUUUGAUAAUGAAUAUAUUAUUUCAUCAAUGGUAAAAAUAUAUAUACAGGAACUAUAAACUGUAUAUUCAUCAUCAUUAAUUAAACCAACUUAAGUAAAUUUUACUUAGAAUAGUUACAACAAUAGAAAUAAUGCACUACAUGUAAACAAUACAGAAUACAAUUGACAAAUUGAUUCGGUGAUUUUUGUUAUAUUCUGUGGUGAAUAACUAUAAAUGUAUCCUCCGUUAGCAUUUCAUUACUAAGUGUGUAAAAUUUACAUCAUAAAGUUUUCUUAAAUUAACAUUUGCAAUUUCAUUUUUGAUGCCCACGCCGUGGUGGAGGGGACAUUAAGUUUUAUCCUGGUCCAUCUGUUCGUCCAUCCGUACGUCGCGAAAUUGGUUUCCGUUCUAUAACUUAAGUCUGCAUCAACCAAAUGUUAUGGAACUUACACACAGUGCUUAUUACCAGAACACACAGAUCAAGUUUGAAUUUUGGUGGUGUCACUUAUACUGUUUUAGAGCUAUGCCCCUUUACAAUUGGAAAAAAUGCUGAUUCUUACGUUUCCGUUCGCCAACUUAAGUUUGCCUCCACCAAAUGUUAUGAAACUUAUUAAAAAAAUGCUUCUAACCACAAAACACAGUCCAAUUUUGAACUUUGGUGAUGUCACUUUUACCAUUCUAGAGUUAAUGAGUUACGCCCAUUUACAAAUGGAAAAAUGUUGAAUUUUUCGUUUCCGUUCUCUAACUUAAGUUUGAUUCAACCAAAUGUUAUGAAGCUUAUACACAAUGCUUAUUACCACAAAACACAAAUCAAGGAUGAAUUUUGGUGGCGUCACUUUUACCAUUCUAGAGUUAUGCCCAUUUGCAAAUGAAAAAAAAAUGCUUAGUUUUUCGUUUCCGUUCUUUAACUUUAGUUUGCCUCAACUAAAUGUUAUAAAUAUUAUACACAAUGCUUGUUACCACAAAACUCAGAUCAAGUGCACAUUUGAGUAGCGUCACUUGUACCGUUCUUGAGUUAUGUUCCUUUAUAACGUUGUCUGCAAGCAGGGUAUCAUCUGUGUCCCAUGGACACAUUCCCCAUGUAUUUGUAUCUUGAUGUUUUUUGCAUGUCAUCUUCCGUCCAUAUUUUGACUUUAUUGGUUUUUCAUUUUGUUCAAUCAUUUUAGUUUUAAGAAAUGGGAUGUUUUCUAACGAUUUUUAUUCCUUUACUCAGAACAACAAUGACUGAUGUGUCUACUGACAGUGGAGAACAAGCUUCAGAUAUUUCACCAGAAGAAGAAAAUUAUCUUCGUAUUGCCCACUUAUUAAUCAGAGUUGCACCUUCUGCUGUGCGGGUAAGAUUUGAUACAGAGUUUUCUCCUGGAGGAUUAAAGACAGUUUUGAAUAAAGCAAGAUCUUCAACAUUAGAACCCCUGAAAAAAAGAAGAGUUAUUAACCAAGCUCAAUGGGAUUUGUUAUUUCCAAAGUCAGGUA